GUGUGUGUGUGUGUGUGUGUGUGUCAAGAUGGGGGCCUCUAGUAGAGAGAAGAUGGAGUGAGUGACUGAGAGAGGAGGGUGCCGGUGAGAGCGUGAGUCAGGUCCUUUUCAGCGGCUGGCCGUGCAGAGAUGCAGACGUCAGCCGUGGUUCAGAACCUUCCGGAACUCUUCUGCGCUCCAGCCAAGCAGCCUCUGGUGACUCUGACCACAGCCUCAGCGUAUAAGGGCCCUCUGAGCUCUUUGUUAAUUGGAUAAAUCUGUUCUUCGUCUCCGCUGACUCAGCGACUCUCUCCCCCCGGCCACCUCACCCCUCGUGACCCGGCGGUCGUUCGGGGGAUUUUAGCGCUGCGCUGGACUCCCCCGGUGACUUUGAAACCCACGCCAGAGCCAUUCCAAUGAGCCGCCUUAUCCCCCGAAGUCUUCACCCAGGCCCAAAAAAAAAGACAAAAAAAAAACCUCGCUUCUUUAGUGACUCGUAGUUCUGCGCUCUGCUCUUUUCCCCUUUCUUGAAAAGUGCCGUCCGUCGAGCAUCUCAGUUUCUGCAAGAGCCGGAGGCAAUCAAGAGCAAAUACA